GAAGAGAUUUUAGGAUUAGCAUCAGGUUUAUGAAUUCAGAAGAAUGUCAUAUGAAUGAACUGAAUAAAAAGUCCCAUAUCAUUCAAUGCAGUGCAGCUCAGAUCAAUACCACAGUGCAGUGACAGAGGCGGAUAUGUGGAAUCCGCUCCGUGUUUUCCACCUCACUUAGUGUGCUAACUGAGAUAUUCAAUUAAGGAUUCCUCUUCCCACUCUGAAGCGGCUCUCCAGGGCAGAUCUUCCGAGCGACCCGCCCUAUGUUAGAAAUAGGAAAAUCCAAUAAUAACAACACAAGAAAAAAAAAAAAAAAUGAAAAAAAUGAGGCAACUUUGAUCACGCAUGCUCCCUUGUAAUCCACCUUAUGCACAACAUUUGUUCUAAGUUGGAAAGUCGCGGAAAAGCCAGGAAGUAACGUUACAGUAAGCCAAUCAGUUGAGGGGAAGCAUCUCGUGUUUAAAAUGCCUGUGAUAUCCAAGAGAAGGCAUCAACAGACAGCUAUGUAAGAGUCUCGUGUGAACGUGCAAGCUGAGUUUUGGCAAGUAGACACAGUGACCCACAGGACUGAACUGGAGCACUCAAUAUACGUUGAAGAUGAAGUAAGCCUGUGAGUGAAGUGACUUUUUCCAUCAGAGAGAGAGAGAGAGAGAGAGAGAGAGAGAGAGAGAGAGAGAGGUAAGGGAAGCAUGCGUGAUGGUUCAUGUUUAAUCGUGU